rnacentral:lncRNA from 10 species
UGGAGGAUCACUUGAGCCAAGGAGUUUGAGACCAGCCUGGAGCCUGGGCAACCUAGUGACACCCUGUCUCCACCAAAGAAAGAAAGAAAGAGAAAGAGAGAGAGGGAGAGCAAAAAAGUCUGUGAAUCUUAACUGAAUUUCUCUGAAUAUGAGAAGUGCAAGGAAAUAUCUCUACAAACGGAAAGAUGUAGGAGUAACUGAGGUGGUACAAAGGAUUCUCUCUGAGAUGGUGACAUUUACUGUGAGACCUGAAAUAAUAUAUUAGGGCAGUAAAACGUUAGGGCAGAGGAUUCAGGGAAGAUGGCAGAGUAGCAAGCAUAAAAAAGCUUUCUCAGGCCGGACUUUCAUGCCCUACUCUUAAUCUGCUGAGUCAGAAGCUGAAUUUGAAGAUCCAUAUUUCCUGUGAAAGUUUGAGAAGUACAUCUCAUAAGCUUCCCCCUCCACCUGAUUCAGCCCUAAGGGUAUUGCAUAUUCCUCACCACUGAGGUAUUUGAAUCAACAAAAUGUCUUAGGUGGCGUAGACCCAGGAGGGCUGCAAAAUGCUUGGGCUUGAACUGGGAGAGGACACUAGAGAGACAGUCCCAAGAAGACCAUGCGGCCACGGCCGAGCCUGCCUUUCCAGCACUGCCAUGGCAUGUCCCACUGCUCCUGAAGUACAGGAAUGGCCACUCAUGGGAACUGACCGGGAGUGACUGUGUGCGCAGUCAGCAACACACUGAGGCUGGAGUGCUUGUAGCAGGAUGAGCCGCAGACGAAACCCCUCAGACAUCACGUUAAAGAAGGAAGGGCUUUAUUCAGCCAGGAGCAUCGGCAAGACUCACAUCUUAAAAACCGAACUCCCCGAGUGAGCAAUUCCUGUCCCUCUUAAGGGCUCACAACUCUAAGGGGGUCCGCAUGAGAGGGUCGUGAUUGAUUGAGCAAACAGGGAGUACGUGACUAGGUGCUGCAUGCACUGGCAAUUAGAACAGAACAGAACAGGACAGGGAUUUUCACAGUGCUUUUCUCUUCAAUGUCUGUAAUCUACAGAUAACAUAACCGAUUAGGUCAGGGGUAGAUCUUUAACUACCAGGCCUAGGGUGAGGCGCCGGGCUGUCUGCCUGCGGAUUUCAUUUCUGCCUUUUAGUUUUUACUUCUUCUUUCUUUGGAGGCAGAAAUCGGGCAUAAGACAAUAUGAAGGGGUGUCUCCUCCCUUCUGCUCACACACUGAGGCUGGAGUGCUCGCACCCUGCUACCCAUGUGCUCACCCUGGGAUUCGGGGAAGCAUGCACACAGGCAAGCAGGAAAAACACGAGGAUCCUGGAAGGGGAUGGGCAGAACGUGAUGGAGGAGAGAGGUUUCUGCUUCCUCCAAGGGCCAAAAGUCACUGUCUGACAUGUGAACGAGAUACUCUAACAGAGUUCGGGGUUGGGGUAGGGGCAGAUACCCAGUACCUGCUACAAAAGGCCAGUAGUAAAGUCACAACAAAUACCAAAAUGUCAUGUUUCAAAGGCUCUUUAGAUAAGCAUCGAUUUUAAAACCAUAUAAGAAUUAAACUUGUUGCCAGGCAGCAUGACUCAUGCCUGCAAUCACAACACUUUGGGAAACCGAGGCGGGAAGAUGGCUCGAGGCCAGGAGUUCAAGACCAGCCUGAGCAAGAUAGCAAGACCUCAUUUCUCCAAAAAAAAAAAAAAAAAAAAAAAAAAAUUAGCUGAGUUUGGUACCAUGCACCAGUAGUCUUAACUACUUGGGAGACUGAGGCAGGAGGAUGUCAUGAGCCCAGGUGCUCAAAGCUGCUGUGAGCUAUGAUUACACCACUGCAUUCCAGCCUGGAUAACAGAAUAAGAUGCGAUCUCUAAAAAUUAAAAAAAAAAGAAUUAAAUCUACUUGUCUAUUACACAUAAACUUCAAGCAACUCAAGGAUCCAAGAGAAUACAAAAUUGAAAGAAAAAUUUUAUCAACUGACUUUACCAAAACAAACCCACCACCUAUUCAACUUAUGAAAGCUCUUUUUAAAAUCAACUUUUAUUUUAGAUUCAGGGAGUACACAUGCAGGUUUGUUACUUGGGUAUUUUGCAUGAUGCUGAGGUUUAAAGUAUGAUUGAUUCCAUCACCCAGGUAGCGAGCAUAGUUCCCAACAGGUGGUUUUUCAACCUUUCACCUCCCUCCCUCCCCCGUCUACUAGUCCCCAGUAUGUAUUGUUCCCAUCUUUAUGUCCAUGUUUACUCAAUGUUUAACUCCCCCCUUUUUUUUUUUUUGAGAUGGAGUCUCGCCCUGUCACCCAGGCUGGAGUGCAAUGGCACGAUCUUGGCUCACUGCAACCUCCACUUCCUGG